rnacentral:misc_RNA from 1 species
AGGUGCCAAUGCACCUUGGAUUACCCUUCAGUUUCUUGAUCCUCCUCUCUCACAAAGACUACCCAUGACUGCACCACCACAUACGGUGGUUCCCGGCGAUGUUGAGGUUGGAAGAAAUGAUAAUUUUGAUGAUGCAGCUACCGUGUUUGAUCAGGAUAUGGCUGAUAUUGACAGACCAGGGCCGCCUCCUGCGCCAGAUUCAGCUAUUGAGAUACUGCCAAUAGUGAUGAUAACACAGGAGCAUUUGAUAAAGGACACGCAUUGUCCUGUGUGUAAGGAUGAAUUUGAGGUUGGUGCGGAGGCGAGGGAGCUUCCCUGCAAGCAUUUAUACCAUUCUGAUUGCAUUAUUCCAUGGUUGAAUAUACACAAUUCCUGCCCAGUUUGCCGGAGCGCGGUGCAUGAUGGUUUUGAGGAUCAUCUCCAGCAAGAAAAUGGU